ACGAACGCUGGCGGCGUGCUUAACACAUGCAAGUCGAACGAGGGUCGCAAGACCCUAGUGGCGGACGGGUGAGUAACGCGUAGGUAAUCUGCCCAUCGAUGGGGGACACCCAGCCGAAAGGCUGGCUAAUACCGCAUACGCUGGACUGCCGAGAGGUGGUUCAGGAAAGAUUUAUUGUCGAUGGAUGAGCCUGCGUCCGAUUAGCUAGUUGGUGAGGUAAUGGCUCACCAAGGCUCCGAUCGGUAGCUGGUCUGAGAGGACGAUCAGUCACACUGGAACUGAGACACGGUCCAGACUCCUACGGGAGGCAGCAGUGGGGAAUUUUCCGCAAUGGGCGAAAGCCUGACGGAGCAACGCCGCGUGGAUGAAGAAGGCUUUCGGGUCGUAAAAUCCUUUCAGCAGGGACGAGUAGAAGACGGUACCUGCAGAAGAAGCAUCGGCUAACUACGU
rnacentral:rRNA from 1 species